rnacentral:rRNA from 1 species
GUGGGGAAUCUUAGACAAUGGGGGAAACCCUGAUCUAGCCAUGCCGCGUGAGCGAUGAAGGCCUUAGGGUUGUAAAGCUCUUUCAGCUGGGAAGAUAAUGACGGUACCAGCAGAAGAAGCCCCGGCUAACUCCGUGCCAGCAGCCGCGGUAAUACGGAGGGGGCUAGCGUUGUUCGGAAUUACUGGGCGUAAAGCGCACGUAGGCGGAUCGGAAAGUCAGAGGUGAAAUCCCAGGGCUCAACCUUGGAACUGCCUUUGAAACUCCCGGUCUUGAGGUCGAGAGAGGUGAGUGGAAUUCCGAGUGUAGAGGUGAAAUUCGUAGAUAUUCGGAGGAACACCAGUGGCGAAGGCGGCUCACUGGCUCGAUACUGACGCUGAGGUGCGAAAGCGUGGGGAGCAAACAGGAUUAGAUACCCUAGUAGUCC